AAUUAAGCCUGUAAUUGUUGAGGGUCCUGAGUUAUUUACACAAAUUGUGAUACAGAAUUACAAUUGAGAAAUUUUGUGCAAUCAUGUCAAAACCGCGUAAAACACCUAAAUGCCCGUAAUUUAACUAGACUAGCACUAAUACGCAAAUUUUAAAACUAAAUUAAAAACAAAAUUAUUGUUCUUCUUUUUCAAAACAACAUAUAUUUAAUCACGUAUUACCUAGCUAGGGGAAAAAGAUCAAUACCCAACUAUCUAGCUAACUACCUAACACACUAAAAUAAAAAAUAAUAAUAAUAAAAAAAAAACUACCUAAGAAAAUAAAAACUACCCAUGAAUUACGUAAUACUCCUACAUUCAUGUUUAAUUAGCUAACUAUCUAGGAAAAAACUACCCAUGAUAUAAUAACAAUUGCAACUUCUACUUCCCACUAAAAGAACAAUAAAAGGUAAGUAUGCAAAAUCAAAGUCAUAUCUAUGGUGUAAUAACUAACCCAUAAACUUAUAAACUCAUGUUUGACGCCAUCAUACCUCCUUCCUUCGUGAAUUGCUAUGGAGUAUUAGCCUAUUUUCAUCAACGAUUUAAUCCCCACUCCAUACUAACCUACAGUUUACCAUUGCCGAUCGUCAGUUGAGGAGAGUUAUUGGGACAAUAUUUAGAGCAAUUGACGAAGAACGAUCUAGGUUAUUUGACGAGAGAACCGUAGCAAGUAUGGAAAAUCAAAGGCCAAGUUCAUCCGAGUACCGAAGACUAAGACGACAGAGGAUGACUUCUGAACAAUGUGCCCAAGAGGCCAAUACUAGAAACGCUCAGAGGCGUUUGACCUAUAAUGCAAGAAGACAUGCCCGACAAAAUGGCAAUGCGACCGCGUUUUUAGACAUUACCAAUCAAGAUAACUCAACUGUUGUAGGCAUUACUACAAACUCUAUCCCCAUACAUACAUGUGAGUUCAUUGUCAUAAAUUUUAAAAAAGUAGCA